AGAGGGACCCCGGGGUGCUGGCGCCUGGGUACCCAAGGACAAAGGGACUCCACCCGCAUCCCUGACACUCACGCUAAACCUCGUGCGCCCACCUCUCCUCGUCCCAACAAGCCAACCUAGCCCGGCGAGGCACCGCGGGCGACUCUCGGAGAAGCAAGGCCACCAGACCGCGCCGCCCCUGCGGGGCCGCGGUCCCCGGCUACUGUGAUCCCGGGCUUGGGGGGAGGGUCGUGUUCUGUCAGUUUCCAGCUCGCUCCCCUUGGAGCUGUCACCAAAACCCGGAGAAUGGAUUUGGCACACUGGAGACGCCCAGGGCUGCCGGCUGAGCGAGCGGGCACACGAACAGCCGACGCUGCAGGUUUUUCCAGUCCAUGGGGAGGUGUUUUCUUUCCCGCGGGUCCCUAAAAGGGACUUGACUAAAGCUGGGGCAAACAGGUGGAGGCUGCGCCCGACACGCUACGAGGCGCAAGUAGCGCAGCUGCCUGCGGGGAACGUAAAAUUCCGUCCUUGGCGACACCUGUGCCCGCCGGUCAUUCAGAUGACCGCGGCUGCACGCCCCGCCCCUCCGCCCGGAGGCUGCGCCAGGACCUGGUUAAUUAAUUUUCUUAAUCCGUCUCCGUCUCCUCCUCCUGGAGUCUUUGGCCUGGGGUUUGAGUAGGCGACAGGAAAGGGCGGUGUUUUCCGGCUGUGAGGUCCCAGCCCGAACUACCACCGGCCUGGGGAGGAGGAUGGAACCCAGCGGAGUCCGGCGCUCCCGGUCAGGCGUCUCAGGUUGGAUGGAAAUUUAGGCAUAAAGCAGAGACCCUCCAGGGAACCUUGGCUUUCCAGAGAGGGCUCAGCUUUAGGUUAUCUCUGCAAUUCCCUUGGGUCUGUCUGAAACCUUAGAGGAUGCACGUUCAGCCGACGUCGUAAACCACGGCUGACGUUAAGCUAUAGUCUAUAUUGCUAUAUAACUUCAAUAUACAAAAUACUGCUGGCUUUGGAACACGGUCUGGAAAUGGAUGACUUGAGAGAAUCCUGAUGAGCCUAAACUCGUAGGUAUCAAUAAAUAGUGAAUCUACUCUGUACCACACUCUGUGCCAGCACUGGAGAAGCAACCAUAAAUAAAACACAGUCUCCCCAUCAUUGGAAGAAGGAAAAGGAGGAAAAGAUGAAGAAGAUCUUCUAUGGACUUUGUAUGAAUUAACUCAAUUAAUUCUCACAGCAGCUCUAUGAUGUAGGUAAAUUUCCAUCCCCACUUUACAGAUAGAAUAACCAAGAUUAAGUUAUUUGCCCCAGGUCACGCCAUUGUUAAGUACUUUAUGGCUCUAGACUCCAUGUGCUUUAUCACCGUAUUAUGUUUCCUCUUUUAAAACACAGUGUUCUAUAUUUCAAGCUCUAAAAAGCAUAUAAAAUAAACUAUGGGAACUAGUGGGAGACACUGAGAGAGGAAGGGUGAGAAGCAUUUCACAGAGAAAUAUUUAAACAUAUCCUUUGCCUAGUUCCCAAGUUGUAGUCUUCAUUUCUCCACAUAAACUCACAUGAGAGUCCUCUCCUACUUCAUAGAUGAAUAGGAGGGCACAAAAUAACCUUGAUACAAAAUGCUGGCAAUUCACCUGGGCAAGAACAACCCAGAGAACUUGGGUCCGAUCUCUGUCCUAUCCCUUGGGUACACUGGUUAUGGAUGCUUCUAGGAACUCCAGGGAGAAUGGUACAAGGUCUGCCUCUCACUUGUGUUGGUUCCCAUAGUUCCCACAAAGGGAACCAAUAACCAUUGGGUUGGAGUUCGGAGACACAGAUUUCCGUUUAUGUAGUUCACCAUGGAGACAUAACCCUCCCCAGCAAUAGCCUCACAUGUACAGAAAACUUUCAAGCCAGCUUCAUACGCAACAUUCCUUAUAGCAAAGGCAACUAUUUGUCCUAUGUGCCUUGUUCAAGUCCUAGUUUAUGUUUGUUGUGCCAGUAUAACAUCAAUACCUCUGUUUUCAUUCUCAAAAGUGUUCCAGUUUAAGUGAUAAAUUAUCCAGUCACAUGACUUGGGAUGCCUGAGUUAAAAUCCUACCUCUGCUACUUAGCUCUAUGACCUGGGCAAGUUAUCUAAUUCCAUCUUCUCCAAAUUCCUCAUUUAUAAACUGGAAUGCUAACCACAGCACCUACUUCACAGUGUUGACUCCCCUUACCAUAAAAGGCCAAGGUCUAAGAUCCUCCAAUUAAAAGUUGUCCUGCCAGUGCUUCUGCAUACCUGUUCUUCUCAUACCCUUAAACACCUGUCUAAAUCCUGGAUCAGGGAGUUCAGGCUUUUGAGCAUUAGCUUCCCAUUCUUUUGGGUGGCAUCAUUUAUAAUAAAAUAGCCAAUCUCUCUCCACUGCAAUUCUCAGCGUUCACUGUUUGGCUCUGCUAGUGCUGGGUGGACAAACUCUUUCUAUUCUGUAACACAAGGUCAACUGAAUGUCUUCAGGGACUCUGGAUCAGUUUUGCAAAAAGAGCUGUGAACCCAUGGUCAGCAACAGACCAUUUCUGUCCUGCACUAGUGGGAUUCUUUGAAAGCCUUCACACCCCUCUUAUGAAAGAGGCAGGUAGAAUUGUUUUAUUCAUGUUAAAAACAAAAUGACUAGAAAUGGCAUAAAGCAAUACAAAUGCUUCUAAAAUGAAAUCAGUGACAUAUAAACAGUCAUCUGCAAUUCAUUUGAGAAUCCAGAACUCAGGAAGAAUCUAGUUUGAGAGAAGGAAAAAGAACAAAAGAUAUAGCAGGCAGCCCAAGGAAAUAAAUUUCAGAAAUGUUCCAGUACACAGAGGUCAGAAAACCCAGCGGGGACAGGACAGGGCUAUGAGGACUGUUCUCAGGAAGUGGCAAAAUUAACGUAUCUCUUCUUAAUUGCUUGUUUUUCUGACAUGCAACUCUGUGAAUUCCUUGAGGGGUGGGGCUUUGCUUUGGUUUUCUCUACCUGUGCAUUUAAACCAGGCACAUGGAUCUCCCUAAAACCUUGACAUGCAAUAGAAUGACUCGCAUAUAGUAGGUGCUCAAGAAAUACCUGUUGAGAAAAUGGAUAAGUGAUUAACAAACAAAAGAAUUAGUGAGUAGCUCAUCAGACCAACAUAAACUCCUUACCUUGCUCCUGCUGACCUUUAGAGAUAAAAAAGUUUUAGAAGUUGGGAAGGGGCAAAUGGAUAUUAGUCAAGACACCUUGAUUGAGAGGCACUCCUCCAGGCCAUUAGUAUAUCUUCUUUGGAGAAAUAUCUAUUCAAAUACUUUAUCCAUUCUUAAAUUGGGUUAUUUGUCAUAUAAGAGUUACAUAAUAAGAGUUAUAUUUAUAUACUGGCUACAACUCCCUUGUCAUAUAUACAGGACAUUGACAUUUGCAAGUAUUUUCUCCCAUUCUGUAGGUUAUCUUUUACAUUUUCUUGAUGAUGUCCUUUGGAGCACAAAAUUUUCAUUUUAAUAAGAUUCAAUUUAUUUGCUUUUUUUUUCUUUGUCAUUUGUGCUUUUAGUGUCAUAUCUAACAAUUACUUAAUCUACGGUCACAAUUUACUCCUAUGUUUUCUUCUAAGAAUUUUAUAGUUUUAGCUCUUACCUUUAGGUCUGUGAUUCAUUUUGAGUUAAGCUUUGUAUAUGGCAUGAAGAAGAGGUCCAACUUCAUACUUUCACAUAUGAAUGUCCAGUUCUCCCAGCACCAUUUUUUGAAAAGACUAUUCUUUCCUUGAAUUGUCUUGGUACUCUUUAUGUGAUGGUUAAAUUUUAUGUGUCAACUUGGCUCAGCUAUGGUGUCCAGUCACUUGUUCAAACACUAGUCUAGAUGUUGCUGUGAAAGUAUUUUGUAGAUGUGAUUAACAUAAACAAUCAGUUGACUUUAAGUUGACAAGAUAUUAUCUUUGAUAAUGUGAAUGGGUCUCAUCUAAUCAGUCGAGGGCCUUAAGAGCAAAAAUGGAGGUUUCCUGGAGAAAAAGGAAUUCUGCCUCAAGAUUAUAACACAAAAAUCUUGCCUAUAUU